rnacentral:rRNA from 1 species
UACAGAGGUCUCAAGCGUUGUUCGGAUUCAUUGGGCGUAAAGAGCGUGUAGGCGGCCCGAUAAGUCCGCCGUGAAAGUCCAGGGCUCAACCCUGGAAUGCCGGUGGAAACUGUCGGGCUGGAGUCCGGAAGAGGCGAGUGGAAUUCCUGGUGUAGCGGUGAAAUGCGCAGAUAUCAGGAGGAACACCAAUGGCGAAGGCAGCUCGCUGGGACGGUACUGACGCUGAGACGCGAAAGCGUGGGGAGCAAACAGG